UACGGGGGGAGCAAGCGUUGUUCGGAUUUACUGGGCGUAAAGGGCGCGUAGGCGGCCUGUGCAAGUCAGUUGUGAAAUCUCCGAGCUUAACUCGGAACGGUCAACUGAUACUGCUCGGCUAGAGUGCGGAAGGGGCAACUGGAAUUCUUGGUGUAGCGGUGAAAUGCGUAGAUAUCAAGAGGAACACCUGCGGCGAAGGCGGGUUGCUGGGCCGACACUGACGCUGAGGCGCGAAAGCUAGGGGGAGCGAACGGG
rnacentral:rRNA from 1 species